AUUGAACGCUGGCGGCAUGCCUUACACAUGCAAGUCGAACGGUAACAGGUCUUCGGAUGCUGACGAGUGGCGAACGGGUGAGUAAUACAUCGGAACGUGCCUAGUAGCGGGGGAUAACUACUCGAAAGAGUGGCUAAUACCGCAUGAGAUCUACGGAUGAAAGCAGGGGAUCGCAAGACCUUGUGCUACUAGAGCGGCCGAUGGCAGAUUAGGUAGUUGGUGGGAUAAAAGCUUACCAAGCCGACGAUCUGUAGCUGGUCUGAGAGGACGAUCAGCCACACUGGGACUGAGACACGGCCCAGACUCCUACGGGAGGCAGCAGUGGGGAAUUUUGGACAAUGGGCGCAAGCCUGAUCCAGCAAUGCCGCGUGCAGGAUGAAGGCCCUCGGGUUGUAAACUGCUUUUGUACGGAACGAAAAGCCCUGGGUUAAUACCCUGGGGUCAUGACGGUACCGUAAGAAUAAGCACCGGCUAACUACGUGCCAGCAGCCGCAGUAA
rnacentral:rRNA from 1 species